GGUUGGUCCGACGGCAGUGGGAUUUACAAUUGAUUGCCACAGUCACAGAAAACUUCUACGUUGCUUCUCUCCCCUCUCACUGCCGACCUUGACUAGCCUUUU
rnacentral:Y_RNA from 12 species